rnacentral:rRNA from 1 species
CCUACGGGCGGCUGCAGUGGGGAAUAUUGGGCAAUGGGCGCAAGCCUGACCCAGCAACGCCGCGUGAAGGAAGAAGGCUUUCGGGUUGUAAACUUCUUUUGUCAGGGAAGAGUAGAAGACGGUACCUGACGAAUAAGCCACGGCUAACUACGUGCCAGCAGCCGCGGUAAUACGUAGGUGGCAAGCGUUGUCCGGAUUUACUGGGUGUAAAGGGCGUGUAGCCGGGUUGACAAGUCAGAUGUGAAAUCCUGCGGCUUAACCGCAGAACUGCAUUUGAAACUGUUGAUCUUGAGUACUGGAGAGGCAGACGGAAUUCCUAGUGUAGCGGUGAAAUGCGUGGAUAUUAGGGGAAACACCAGUGGCGAAGGCGGUCUGCUGGACAGCAACUGACGGUGAGGCGCGAAAGCGUGGGGAGCAAACAGGAUUAGAUACCCCAGUAGUC